rnacentral:rRNA from 1 species
CCUACGGGCGGCUGCAGUGGGGAAUAUUGCACAAUGGGCGCAAGCCUGAUGCAGCCAUGCCGCGUGUGUGAAGAAGGCCUUCGGGUUGUAAAGCACUUUCAGCGGGGAGGAAGGCGGUGAGGUUAAUAACCUCAUCGAUUGACGUUACCCGCAGAAGAAGCACCGGCUAACUCCGUGCCAGCAGCCGCAGUAAUACGGAGGGUGCAAGCGUUAAUCGGAUUACUGGGCGUAAAGCGCACGCAGGCGGUCUGUCAAGUCGGAUGUGAAAUCCCCGGGCUCAACCUGGGAACUGCAUUCGAAACUGGCAGGCUAGAGUCUUGUAGAGGGGGGUAGAAUUCCAGGUGUAGCGGUGAAAUGCGUAGAGAUCUGGAGGAAUACCGGUGGCGAAGGCGGCCCCCUGGACAAAGACUGACGCUCAGGUGCGAAAGCGUGGGGAGCAAACAGGAUUAGAUACCCCUGUAGUC